rnacentral:rRNA from 1 species
UACGUAGGAUGCAAGCGUUGUCCGGAAUUAUUGGGCGUAAAGAGCGCGCAGGCGGUAUGACAAGUCAGAUGUGAAAGAGGCCGGCUUAACCGGCAAGGGUCAUUUGAAACUGUCAGACUAGAGUGCAGCAGAGGGUAGUGGAAUUCCCGGUGUAGUGGUGAAAUUCGUAGAUAAUUCGGAGGAACACCAGUGGCGAAGGCGGCUCACUGGUCCAUUACUGACGCUGAGGUGCGAAAGCGUGGGGAGCAAACAGG